GGACCGAACGGCAGGAGACAAUUGGGACCGAACGGAAGGUGACGACUAUGUUCACAGUGAUGAACAUCAGGAAGACAGCCGCCGAAGCGAAGGCCCACUGCUGGGCGGAGGAGAAUGGACAUCUGGCUGAUAUCAAAAGCACAUUCGUCGCGGAUUACGUAAAGAAAGCCAUAGCGGUAUACGGCAGUGAGUCCGAAGACUACUGGAUCGGCCUUGAACAUGCUACGGGGAGCGGUGGCUGGGCAUGGGCGGACGGAACUCCUCUGCCGUCCUACGACUACACGGCCUGGAGCUCCGGAGAGCCAGGUGACAUCGGAUAGCAGUGCGUCUUGCUGAAGGCAGCAGCCGACUUCCAGUGGGACAACGCUUGGGUGCAGCGAGAGGAAGUAUUUCAUCUGCCAAACAGGACCGGGAGAUACGGACGCUUGCGGGGACAGUCAGCACGAGAAGUAGAAGCUGAUAUUGCCGACCCGGAAAACGCCUUCGAGUUCAGCGCGGUUCGGGAGGAGGAGGACCCGGAUGUGGAUGAGGACCCGGAUGUGGAUGACGACCUAGCUGAUGAAAUCCCGCGAGAGAUGGGCGAGACUUGGGAGGAGCAGGAGGCUGAUGACGUCAGCGAGGAUGAGGUGGAUGAAGACGCCAUCUUGGAAGAGAUCGAUUGGCUCGUGGAGGAGUUGAGGGAGAUUAUUGAGGAGAAACAGAUGGAUAUGGGGGAAUGACUUUAUGAGAUUAGAAAUAAUAGAAAGUUAUAACAGAAUCAUCCAAGAGUAAAAAUUAACAGCAAAAAUAGAAAAGUGAAAGUUAUCGGUGAAAGUAACAAACUUCUGUUUUUCUCCAUUCAUUUUCUAUAGUGAUAGAACAUGUGCUGUUCUUUCAAAGUGUUCUGAGAAAUUUCUAGAUGACAUAUUAUAUUACAUUAAAACAUACAAAGGUUAGCUUUAGCUUUUCAGUGCACUGUCAUGAAUGGUGGAGAAAAUCUGUAGCCGGGAGAAAGAGAGAGAGAGAGGGAGGAAGAGAUGGGAAAAGAGAGAGAGAGGGAGGAAGAGAUGGGAAAAGAGAGAGGGAUCUGGAGAGACAGACAGGUAUUAAGAGAGAAAAAGGGAGAGAGCGAAAGGGAGAGAGAAGCAUAACGAUGGAGAGGGAGUGUGGUUGUAAUGACAGGACAUGUUAGUUAAAUUUAAGUUACGUUACGACAUCAUUCUCGGUGAUAAAAGUAAAUAUAGUUUGCUGCGUAACUGAUA